AUACAGAGGGUGCGAGCGUUAAUCGGAAUUACUGGGCGUAAAGCGCGCGUAGGCGGCUUAUUAAGUCAGAUGUGAAAUCCCCGAGCUCAACCUGGGAACUGCAUCUGAUACUGGUAAGCUAGAGUUUUGGAGAGGGAAGUAGAAUUUCAGGUGUAGCGGUGAAAUGCAUAGAGAUCUGAAGGAAUACCAGUGGCGAAGGCGACUUCCUGGCCAAAAACUGACGCUGAGGUGCGAAAGCGUGGGUAGCAAACGGGAUUAGAAACCCUUGUAGUCC
rnacentral:rRNA from 1 species